CAAAUUCGCAUCUAGGGGAAU
rnacentral:miRNA from 1 species